GGGGAUUUAGCUCAGUGGCAGAGUGCCUGCCUGGUAAGUAUAAGGUCCUGAGUUCAAUCCCCA
rnacentral:tRNA from 1 species